GGCUUGAUAGUUCAGUGGUAGUAAGUUCACACAACACCAUAACAAGCUUUCAGCGUUCCUAACAACAAUUUCACAGGAAUUCUUGCUUUGGGCUCUGUUCUCAAAAUGUAAGAGGUCCCCGGUUCGAUCCCGGGUUAAGCCC